UACGGAGGGAGCUAGCGUUGUUCGGAAUUACUGGGCGUAAAGCGCGCGUAGGCGGCUUUGUAAGUUAGAGGUGAAAGCCCGGGGCUCAACUCCGGAACUGCCUUCAAAACUGCUAAGCUAGAGUUCGGAAGAGGAGAGUGGAAUACCCAGUGUAGAGGUGUAAUUCGUAGAUAUUGGGUAGAACACCAGUGGCGAAGGCGACUCUCUGGUCCGAUACUGACGCUGAGGUGCGAAAGCGUGGGGAGCAAACAGG
rnacentral:rRNA from 1 species